UGGGGAAUCUUGCGCAAUGCGCGAAAGCGUGACGCAGCAACGCCGCGUGGGGGAAGAAGGCCUUCGGGUUGUAAACCCCUUUCAGUUGGGACGAAGCUUCGCCGGUGAAUAGCCGGCUGGAGUGACGGUACCUUCACAAGAAGCCCCGGCUAACUACGUGCCAGCAGCCGCGGUAAUACGUAGGGGGCUAGCGUUGUCCGGAAUCAUUGGGCGUAAAGCGCGUGUAGGCGGUCCGGUAAGUCCGCUGUGAAAGUCGGGGGCUCAACCCUCGAAAGCCGGUGGAUACUGUUGGGCUAGAGUACGGAAGAGGCGAGUGGAAUUCCUGGUGUAGCGGUGAAAUGCGCAGAUAUCAGGAGGAACACCAAUUGCGAAGGCAGCUCGCUGGGACGUUACUGACGCUGAGACGCGAAAGCGUGGGGAGCAAACAGG
rnacentral:rRNA from 1 species